GCGCCUGUUGUUGUUGUAAUACAUGAGAGUGAGUGUUGUGGGUUAGUACGACAUAUUCCUAUUAGAUUCAGGUUCAAAUAAGAAUCAAUUAUAAAUAGGUCCUUAUGACCCUUUUUAGCUUAGUCGUGGAUGCAGCAAACUGAACUAGACCACAAUAAAUUAUUACAGUAGUAUUAACACCCUUACAUUUAAUCAUUUAGAAGACGCUUUUGUUCAAAACGACUUACAAAUGAGGAAAGCAAUAGAAGCAAACAAUAUCUAACCCUUAAUAAUAAUAAAAUACAAAAUAAAGCCUACAGCAAUAUGUGCCUAUAUAUAGCUUUAUGGUUUUAGAGCAUGACAUUUUCAGGGAUCACGCGAAAACCUAAAAGAAUGGCUGAAAUGGGACUUCCCAACACUACUGUUUUAAAAUGUAAAACUUGGUGCUGGUGAAUGAGCCAUGCACAGUUCCACGUGCCUCAGAGGCAGGCUGUUGGUGACGUCAAGCAGCUUCCUCAACGCCCUUCAGACUCACGCGGCUUGUGGUGUGGCUCGCUGUUUCUGUAUGGAUGAAUUUAUCAUCGUCGUCAGAAAAGCGUCAUAAACAGGCUUGACCUCCAUUUACCCGAUUGGUAAAAUUGGGCCACCCGCUUGCCAAAUUUCUGUAAAGUACAGUUUGAAGUUAGGCUGCAUUAAGUAGCCCACAUUUAGCAGUAAUACCCUGCAGGAAGCCAAAACAGUGGAUGGAGAAGCGUCUUGCUUUUCUCUUAGUGUUUCGGGAAAAGACUCGAAGCAUCAGGAGUCGAAAACAGUGUCAUCUUGUGCUUCCCUGAGUAGUAGCUCUCUGGCAAGGUCAGCCCUCCCUGCGCGGGUCAAGCAGUGGGCCAGUAUGGGGCAUUUCGGAGACGAGGAAGGAAGGCCCCGCCUCCAUGCUGUUAGAAUGUGAAAGGCCUGUUGUGAGAGGCUGUAUGGUGCACGGAGUCGAGCAAUCUGGACAGCAGAGCGACGGAGAUGGAGGGACAUAACGAGAAGUGCUGCAUCGUCUUCAGUGAGCUCAUCACAGAGCCAUGAUAACAGCUCAUCCGAGGGAGGGUCUGGAGGACAAACACUGUUAGCAUGUGUGCGUCCACAGGUGCACAGAACAUUUCUGACAUUCUGUCAUUUUUAAAUGACAGAAACUGAGAAGGAUGAAAAUCUGAGAGAACUUAGCAAACCAAACAAACAAACGAAAAAACAGGCCAAAAUGGAGGAAAAUAGAAGAGAGAGCUGGAGUGCACAAAAUAAACAAAUGGUGAAGUAGAUUUCACAUACCUGUUUGACUGUGCUGUAUUACUUUCACACUCACAGGCUGACAGACUGUUCUUGCACUCUAAGUAACAAACACACAACAGUGACUUACAAACCAUUUUAAAAAGUGAUUAUUUUUUGUUUACCAAUACAAAUAUCUAAAAAUUAUUCAGGGAUUCAUUUACUUGAGAAGUCUUAGUUUCUGACAAAUGUUUAAAAAUUUAGUUUAUGCUUAAAAAAGAAAUAAUAUCUGGCAAUGGGGUAAGAAAAAUAAAGUUGUUUUCACCUUGAAUUACA